rnacentral:rRNA from 1 species
UACGUAGGGUGCAAGCGUUUGUCCGGAAUUAUUGGGCGUAAAGAGCUCGUAGGCGGUUUGUUGCGUCGGCUGUGAAAUCCCGAGGCUCAACCUCGGGUCUGCAGUCGAUACGAGCAAACUAGAGUGUUGCAGGGGAGACUGGAAUUCCUGGUGUAGCGGUGAAAUGCGCAGAUAUCAGGAGGAACACCGGUGGCGAAGGCGGGUCUCUGGGCAGUAACUGACGCUGGAGGAGCGAAAGCGUGGGGAGCGAACAGG